rfam:Erythranthe guttata cultivar DTN x IM62 scaffold_280_contig_1, whole genome shotgun sequence.
AUUCCAUGUGUUGGACAAUGCCGCAAAAGAAUUUUAAAUCUCUCCCAUGCCUCGUAUAAUUGCUCACCUUGCUGUUGGACAAAAUUAUGAAUUUCUCGUCGGAUUCU